GACGAACGCUGGCGGCGUGCCUAAUACAUGCAAGUAGAACGAAGUUGCGAACGGGUGAGUAACGCGUAGGUAAAUGCCUCAUAGCGGGGGAAAACUAUUGGAAACGAUAGCAAAUACCGCAUACUGUGAGAUGGACCUGCGUGGUAUUAGCUAGUUGGUGAGGUAAAGGCUCACCAAGGCUACGAUACAUAGCCGACCUGAUAGGGUGAUCUGCCACACUGGUACUGAGACACGGCCCAGACUCCUACGUGAGGCAGCAGUAGGGAAUCUUCGGCAAUGGACGGAAGUCUGAUCGAGCAAUGCCGCGUGAGUGAAGAAGGUUUUCGGAUCGUAAAGCUCUGUUGUUAGAGAGGCGGUAUCUAACCAGGAAGCCACGGCUAACUACGUGCCAGCAGCCGCGGUAAUUC
rnacentral:rRNA from 1 species